UUUUUAUUUUUACAGGGAUAUACAAAGGGGAGUUACAAUUGGAUAAAGACAAAAAAUGAAAAUUGGAAAAAAUCAUAAAUGAAAAAAAAAAAAAAAAAAAAAAAAAAAAAACAAUUCUGGAAUCCAGUUGAAAAUUGAUGAUGGUAUUUAGGAUGUUUGAGCGAGCACAGAGUGAUGCUGAUAAUUGCCUGUCUGAGAGGCCAUGUAGUCCCACAGUCUAGUCCCCAGACAUCACAGCCCAGCCCAGAGCACACUGCACACUUACUGGAUAGAUGACAGACAAAUAGAAAAUGGUAAUUUAUGUGUGAGGCUUUUUUUUUUUUUUUUCCUUUUUUUUUUUCAGAGAGUCGACAGGCCACCAAACCCCUCAGAGACCACAGAGAGUGAUACUGCUGCUCAGAAAUCACAGCAUAAUGUGCCGGAAAAGGGAUGAUACUCCAGGGUGUGAGGUCCAGAUUCUGCUCUCUAUGGGGAGGCCGGUGCAGUGAAAGAGGGAUGAAAGCAAACACAUGGGAAAAAAGCCGGCGUGGGAGCUCCGUUCGACAGUGAAAGUGUGUGGUUUCUCAUCCUUCCCGCAGCUGAGACCUGGUUCCUCUUCAGCACGCAUACACUCAGAUCCAGGCCUAAACUGAGGAGGAAAAGGGGAGGUGGAGUGUGGACGGUGUGUCAGAACGAUGACAGAUUGACGACAGAAUGAGUGAGAACAGGUGAGUGAACUCCGUUGUCCUCUCUUGCCCUGAACAUGUGCACCACAUCGAACAGAACAUUCAUCAGCUCGCUGUCUUCAGCUCAUUUCUCC
rnacentral:lncRNA from 1 species